CAGAGACACUUUGCAUGAGAGUGUUUAUAGAGCUGUGAGUUUUACACUUCAUGACUGAGAGCAGAACAGAACACAAUCUUCAUCAUCACACAAGACACAACAACAACAAUGAACAACAUCAUCAUCCUCAUCUGGACUCUGACGCUCUGCAUUCAGGAGAUCUGGGGACAAAUGACAGUGACUCAGAAUCCAGAAAUAAAAUCCAUCAAUCAAGGAGAAACUGUUACGAUCAGCUGUAAAACCAGUCAGACACUUACUAGGUGUAGUACCUGUGUGUCUUGGUAUCAGCAGAAACCUGGAGAUGCUCCUAAACUCCUCAUUUAUUACAUAAACAGCCUCCAGUCAGGAACUCCAUCUAGAUUCAGUGGCAGUGGAUCUGGCACUGAUUUCUCUCUGACCAUCAGUGGAGUCCAGACUGAAGAUACAGGAGAUUAUUACUGUAUGAGUGUACACUGUCCUAGUAACUGUGUGUUCACACAGUGAUUAAGAGUCGUACAAAAACCUCCGUCAGUCAGAGUCACA